UUCCCAUCCACCUUCCUAUGUUUUGAAUUACACAAGCUAUACUGUAUAUGAGGAUGGUAGCAGUGGAGCACAAUUACCUCAACGGCCCAACGGGCAUACUACUAAAAGAUAGAGAUAGAGAGAGAGAGAGAGAGAGAGAUGAUAUUUCAAGAUCAACCUAUUCUUGGAGAUCUCUAUCUCUCUUCGGUGUCACCUGGUUAUAGAAUUUCGUUGUGUUCGGGGGAGGUGGGUGGUUUGUCAUGGGAAGUGACUGGUAGUCUGUAUAUACAAUAUUCAGUCCAGAGAUGGGUAGUUUUGUGACAGAAUUAUUUUACUUUAUAGUUGCUAUUACCUUCAAAACCAACUUUCUAAAUCCCCUCUUUUGUUUGUGUUUGAUAAUCUGUGGUUCCAUGGAUUUAUAUACCAAACCUAUGAGUGGCUCUCUCUCU